rnacentral:rRNA from 1 species
AUGCCAAGUGGUGACCCCUUCACCGUGAGGAUAGUUGCACUUGGGUCCCCACAUCAGACGGCAAUCCCUAUUUGGCGCUGCAGGCGCUGGUUACAGCUGUUUCCGCAAACCGGCGCCUGCAGCGGAGUUAGAUGGGCUCGGCCCAACUACCUGUUUGAUACUCAAAAAGGGAGGGCAAGGGAAGGAAUGUGUUCGCCCCCAAGAAGCUCCCCUGUUGCAUGGAUUAGACUACCGCAAGGAUUUAUGGAAAUAAAUGUAGAUGGGGCGCUUGGAAGGCAAGGUGAGAGUGGUGCAGCAGUUGCAAUUUGUCGGGAUCAUCUUGGAAAUUAUAUAGGCUCAUCGGCCGUCACUUUUAUGGGCAGUACCGACGUCCCAACCUUGAAAGGCCUGGCAUGUCACUAA